UUAUAAAGUAACCUGGUACAGUAGCUUCUCUGAAUUCAUUAGCAUUGACCACUGUCACACAAUAUCAACAUGUCAAAACCAGACAGUGGUUACUUCUCUUUAUCUAGUUUCUGUCUGACUCAGACCCAGCCUGCAAGCCCACUCUCACAACAGCGAGGGCCUAACCACAAAGACUAAUAUAGUUGCCUGUACAACGAAUAGUGGCAGAGUUUAGACACAUAGAAGCACUAUCUAUUAUAAGUAUCUAUUAUAUAUAUUGAUGGAUGGUAUAGGUCUCACACUCUGCUGGUAUUGAUGGAUGGUAUAGGUCUCACUCUGCUGGUAUUGAUGACUGGUAUAGGUCUCACUCUGCUGGUAUUGAU
ensembl:lncRNA